GACGAACGCUGGCGGCGUGCCUAAUACAUGCAAGUAGAACGCUGAAGAGAGGAGUUUGCUCUUCUUGGAUGAGUUGCGAACGGGUGAGUAACGCGUAGGUAACCUGCCUUGUAGCGGGGGAUAACUAUUGGAAACGAUAGCUAAUACCGCAUAACAAUGGAUGACACAUGUCAUUUAUUUGAAAGGGGCAAUUGCUCCACUACAAGAUGGACCUGCGUUGUAUUAGCUAGUAGGUGAGGUAAUGGCUCACCUAGGCGACGAUACAUAGCCGACCUGAGAGGGUGAUCGGCCACACUGGGACUGAGACACGGCCCAGACUCCUACGGGAGGCAGCAGUAGGGAAUCUUCGGCAAUGGGGGCAACCCUGACCGAGCAACGCCGCGUGAGUGAAGAAGGGUCUCGGAUCGUAAAGCUCUGUUGUAAGUCAAGAACGGGUGUGAGAGUGGAAAGUUCACACUGUGACGGUAGCUUACCAGAAAGGGACGGCUAACUACGUG
rnacentral:rRNA from 1 species